AAAGCGUUCGUGGUGAGGCGCUCACUGUGGUCCCGCCGCGGGACAGCGAGGCCAUGAGCACAGCAUCAUGGACAGUCAAGAAGAAUAUGUCUUUUCUGACAAUAUCAUCAAAGAAGGCACUCCGUUCCAAUUGAGAUAUAAGGUUGUCUGAAUAAAGAAAGUCAUAACACGUUAAUGCAGUUUGAAAUAAUUUAAGAAAUGAAUGUCAGAAUACAUGGUUGCAACUAUCAGAAAUGAAACAUACAGCCAAAUCAAUCAAUCGAUCAUAGCCUUCUCUCAACUUUUACUUUCUAUACUUCCUUUAAACCCCACCGAUCUUUGUGUCCCACCACAGCCCAUCAUGUUUAUCAGUGUGAUAAUUCACGUAUUUGUUAGCACAAAUGCUCCCACAGACACAUCUACAGAUCUGUUCUCAUCCCUUCUCAUCUUCAUUUUAUUCUUUGCAUGAGUGGUAGUAGAAAUAUUUGGAUGUUUACCUUGAUAUGAAGCAAAGUAUACUUUCACAUUAAUUCUCUCAAACUCUCUAAUUAUCUGAAAAAUAAAAGUUUGCAACAAGGUCAUAAAAAAAGGCUGUAAGGAGAAAAUGCAUAUACAUAUAUAGGUCUGUAUAUGUAAUUUAUAGACACACACACUCUCUUUCUCUCCAUUUGUUUCUGAGCAUCUUCAUUCCAAAUUGUAUGUUUUGUUUAUUGAUCAUAACUAAGGAACAGCCAUACUUUGCUAUACUUAAAGAUCCAGUAGUUAAGUACCUGGUUGCUCAAGUGGCCUAUCUUUGACUAUGUAAGUGGAACUAUCAAUUUUACAGACAUACAUUGCUACCUGUUAAAGUUCUCAUAAUACAAAUAAUCAUGUCUCUUCAAGUGAGAACCGUGUGGGCCUGAGCAAGCUUUGUUUCUCCCCAUGUAUGUGUGAUAUGAUACAGUCUUUCACUGGCACAUGCAAAUUUCUUUUACACAGAUUUUUUUGUCAUGCAGUGCACCAGAUGGACCUGUUCUUGGGUGAAAGAGCUGCAUAUGGAAAGAGUCAUGUCUGUGGACCCCAUAUCUCUUUUGUCUCAGAAGCUGAAACUGAAUCGAAACUGCACAGAAGGCUGAAGCAAGGCACUCAGCAUUCUUGUAUUUCAGUUAGUUAAGAGGUGGGAGACUGGAUUCUACCCCGGAUCCCUGGUGGCAGCAGGCAAGUCUCUUAGCAGGGUAUUUGCAGCCGUGAUUGCUAAUUCCGUUCUCUUCUGUUCAUUGAUAAACUAGACUCUUGGUUAUAGACAGGCUAAGCAGUCCCAACUGCAAAAUGAAGUUAGUGAAAGCAGCAAUCUGAACAUAUGAAGUAUCAUAAAAGACUAAAGACUGAACAGUCUGGUCCCACACAUCUGUAAUGGGGCACCAAAAAGUAAAGGAAAUACUUGGCCUUAAUUUUUUUCAUCUCACUUCCCUCUCCCUAAACUAGGAAUAUUAUCUCCUUAUUAUGCAGUGUGAUAUUUGAAGGUGAAUGAAUGAAUGUUGAUGAAGCGCUCUGAUAUUACACACAGAAAACCCUAUAAGGAAAUGAAUCAUUCUUCCUGCCAUUGUAAUUAAAUAAUAUGGAAUGAAUAAAUAAAUCUUGUGGAUAAAGACUGAAGUGAUGCCUCAAGAUUCCUAGGCACCAGCCUGGUUACUCCCUUCCUUGCCAGCCUUGAAGGUGCCAGGCACCCAGCCAGCCAGGUGUGGUUGAUGACCCCAUUGCAGAACAGAGAAGCAUAACAGCGCACAGAGCACUGUCUAUAAAGUCAAGCAGUUAUAAGUCCUAAGUGGGGAAUUUGGACCGGAACUGCUGCAGGGAGACCCAUGACCUCCUGGUAGCCAGGGACACCUCCACCAUCAUUGACUUCCUCCGAGGACUGGACGAUGUGGAAGGCUAUGUCUACCAGACAACUGAUAGAGCUCACCUGAGCAUAGGAAGCUGGAUGACAGGAGCAUGUACACAUGGAAGAGCCAGCACUUUUAUUGCACAGAGACAAUCUGAGGUGGUGAGGGGCAGAGAACUUAGCUAUGUGGGUACAUAAAGUCCUGCUGAAGUACUGCAUCCGGAUCUGGAGUCCUCAGUUCAGGAAAGACAUGGACGUGUUGGAGCAGGUCCAGAGGAGGGCCAUGAAAAUGAUCAGAGGGAUGGAGUGCCCCUCCUACAAGGAAAGGCUGAGAGAGUUGGGGUUGUUCAGCCUGGAGAAGAGAAGGCUCCAAGGAGACCUUAUUGAAUUGCAGCCUUUGAAUACUCUAAAGAGGGCUUAUAAGAAAGAUGGGACAGACUUUUUAGUAGGGCCUGUGGCAAUAGGACAAGGGGUCAUGGUUUUAAACUAAAAGAGGGUAGAUUCAGACUAGAUAUAAGGAAGACAUUUUCUACAGCGAGGGUGGUGAAACACUGGCACAGGUUGCCCAGAGAGGUGGUAGAAACCCCAUCCCUGGAGACAGUCAAGAUCAGGUUGGAUGGAGCUCUGAGCAAGCUGAUCUAGUUGGAGAUGUCCCUGUUCACUGCAGGGGGGUUGGACUAGAAGACCUUUAAAGGUCCUUUCCAAUCCAAACUAUUCUAUGAUUCCAUGAUGAUUCUAUGAUAAAUAACAUAUGGUUAAGUACCACCAGAGUACCUAACAUGAUCUAGAAUAAAUACUGAUAAAAUAAUGCAGCUUCUCUUUUUUUUCAGUGUAAUUAUAUGAUAGCACACAGUGUUUUGUUCUAAAGAAUAGAUUUUUUUCCAUUUCAAAAUUUUUGUAAAACCAAGCAGAUUUUCUGCCACAAAUCAUUUAGCUUUUCAGCAUAUUGUCUUCCUUUUUCAUGGUAUAACACUAAGAAUUAUUUCUGGUCCUGUGUUACUUACAACUGAACUCUCAGCACAACUGUCAGCAGUCCAAACAAAAGGCCAGCAAGUAA